UCUUAAGGCGCCACUUAUUUACCCUCUGCUUCCCAGGUUACCCAGACUAAGGAGCUCGGUCUCCAGCUCGCCUCGUGCCCGGAGCCUGCUGGGUCUUCGUGGUGGUGGCGCGGCAGCUGCGCUUCCUCAGCAGAUCCUGCUCUCCUUCCUACCCUUUGACCCUGGCGGGAAGUGUUCAACUGCAGAGUGGGUGCCCCAAGCUAGAACAUCUGGAAUUUCAUGGUUCAUGUACUGUUGAAGACUGGCUUGGAGAAUUUUGAGCAUUACUUUGCUAGCAUGUGAGGCUUCCCUGGUGGCUCAGUGGUAAAGAAUCCAC